rnacentral:tRNA from 1 species
UACAUUGUGGUGUAAGAGCACAGAGAAAUUUGACUUCUUUAGAAAGAUUUUUUUUUCUUCUUGU